CCUACGGGAGGCAGCAGUGGGGGAUAUUGCACAAUGGGGGAAACCCUGAUGCAGCGACGCCGCGUGUGGGAAGACGGUCCUCUGGAUUGUAAACCACUGUCCCCAGGGACGAAGAUGACGGUACCAGGGGAGGAAGCUCCGGCUAACUACGUUCCAGCAGCCGCGGUAAUACGUAGGGAGCGAGCGUUGUCCGGAAUUACUGGGUGUAAAGGGAGCGUAGGCGGGGAUGCAAGUUGGGUGUCAAAACUACCGGCUCAACUGGUAGUCGCACUCGAAACUGGAACCCUUGAGUGAAGUAGAGGCAGGCGGAAUUCCUAGUGUAGCGGUGAAAUGCGUAGAUAUUAGGAGGAACACCAGUGGCGAAGGCGGCCUGCUGGGCUUUUACUGACGCUGAGGCUCGAAAGUGUGGGGAGCAAACAGGAUUAGAUACCCGUGUAGUC
rnacentral:rRNA from 1 species